UACGUAGGGGGCAAGCGUUGUCCGGAAUCAUUGGGCGUAAAGAGCGCGUAGGCGGCCCUGUAAGUCCGCUGUGAAAGUCAAGGGCUCAACCCUUGGAUGCCGGUGGAUACUGCAGGGCUAGAGUCCGGAAGAGGCGAGUGGAAUUCCUGGUGUAGCGGUGAAAUGCGCAGAUAUCAGGAGGAACACCGAUGGCGAAGGCAGCUCACUGGCCCGGUACUGACGCUGAGGCGCGAAAGCGUGGGGAGCAAACAGG
rnacentral:rRNA from 1 species